CAAUCCCUUUUCUUCCCCAAAUGAAUUCGUCCAUUUCUUCUUCGGCGACUUUUUCUUCUCCGAUGCCCGUUCCUUCUCCGACUUUUUCUCAUUGUUUUUCUCAUCUUCUUUUCUUUUUCUGAAUCCUUCCCAUAUUCAUCCAAAGGCAUGCUCAUCCACUUUCUGUAGAGGGUUUAGGGUCGAAUCACCAUCGCUCUCUAUUUUCUCUUCUUCUUCGAUAGUUCCGUCACUCUCUUCUUAUGGAUUGUUGGUCCCUUUCUCUCCCUCUCGACGACGAGUUCAAGAAGCUCGUCAAUCGUAUGAACCCUCACAGGGUUACCAUUGAUAAUGAUUCCAUCAGAAAAGCUACUCCGAUUAAGUAAUCAGCCCUUUCGUUGCAUCAGCAAGCAGCCGAAAACCGCUGCAAAGCUCAGACACAAACACCUCGACGUCGAGCUUCUGUGCCAUCACCGGCAACAAGUCUUCAUACCCUUCAUCCACUCUACUUGAGGUAUUAUGAUUUUGAUCC